rnacentral:sRNA from 1 species
GCGGGGUUGGCACAGUCGCGGGAACAGCGCGGAGCAGGUUUUUUAAAAUAUAUUCUUUCUUUAAAAAGAGACCAAAACCUGUCAAAAAAAUACUACCGUGGAAAGCUCAUAAAUACCGCAGUGGGAAGAACCCUGUGCUUAUCUUCAGUUUAUCGUCAGACAUCUUAGGGAAGUUUGAUAAAGGACACCAGGAGAAUUGAGAAUUAAAUGAAAAGGUAAUCCUUUUAAAGACCUCAGAAGAUGGAUCUGUUUGUUUCAAUCUGCUUUUGAGGCCAGAAGGAAAUCUCAGUUGAAAAAAAGCACACCUGGAAUGCAUCACUCUUUAAUUCUCAAAUCCAUAUGAUUGCCCAAAGAAGAGAUGCUAUGGCUCAUCGAGUACUCUCAGCAAGGCUUCAUAAAAUUAAAGGACUAAAAAAUGAAUUAGCUGAUAUGCAUCAUAAAUUGGAAGCCAUCCUUACAGAAAACCAAUUUUUGAAACAACUUCAGCUUAGGCAUUUGAAAGCUAUAGGAAAAUAUGAAAAUUCACAAAAUAAUCUACCUCAAAUUAUGGCUAAACAUCAGAAUGAAGUAAAAAAUUUAAGGCAACUACUUAGGAAAUCCCAGGAAAAGGAAAGAACUGUAUCUAGGAAACUUAGAGAAACUGACAGCCAGUUACUGAAGACUAAAGAUACCUUGCAGGCACUGCAGAAACUUUCUGAAGACAAAAACCUUGCAGAAAGGGAAGAACUCACUCAUAAAUUAUCUAUUAUCACAACAAAAAUGGACGCAAAUGAC